GACGAACGCUGGCGGCGUGCUUAACACAUGCAAGUCGAACGGUGAAGCGCCUUCCUUUUUGGUGGGUGUGGUUGAGUGGCGAACGGGUGAGUAACACGUGCGUAACCUGCCCUCUUCUUUUGGUUAACCGCAUGAAAGUGUGGCUAAUACGGGAUAUCCUGGGUCUGUCGCAUGAUGGGUCUGGGUAAGCUGUUGUUUCGGUGGGGGAUGGGCUCGGGGCGUAUCAGCGUGUUGGUGGGGUGAGGGCCUUCGACGGCGGUGACGUGUAGCCGGCCUGAGAGGGUGGACGGUCUGACUGGGACAGAGACACGGCUGGGACUGCUACAGGAGGCAGCAGUGUGGAGGAGUGCACAAUGGGGGCUAGUGUAAUGCAGCGGGGAGGCGUGUGCGGUAGAGGCGUGCGGGGUGUGAACCUCUUUGGCUAGUGAAGCAGGCCUGCCUCGUUUGUAGGUGGGUUGACGGUAGCGGGAUAAGAAGCGCCGGCUAACUACGUG
rnacentral:rRNA from 1 species